AUUGUAUCCACGAUUGGGGAAUUUUCCGCAAUGGGCGAAAGCCUGACGGAGCAAUACCGCGUGAGAGAGGAAGGCUCUUGGGUUGUAAACCUCUUUUCUCAGGGAAGAACAAAAUGACGGUACCUGAGGAAUAAGCAUCGGCUAACUCCGUGCCAGCAGCCGCGGUAAUACGGAGGAUGCAAGCGUUAUCCGGAAUUAUUGGGCGUAAAGCGUCCGCAGGUGGCAAUUCAAGUCUGCUGUCAAAGGUUCUGGCUCAACCAGAGACAGGCAGUGGAAACUGAAUAGCUAGAGUGCGGUAGGGGCAGAGGGAAUUCCCAGUGUAGCGGUGAAAUGCGUAGAGAUUGGGAAGAACACCGGUGGCGAAAGCGCUCUGCUAGGCCGUAACUGACACUCAUGGACGAAAGCUAGGGGAGCGAAUGGGAUUAGAUACCCCAGUAGUCAAUCGUGGAUACAAU
rnacentral:rRNA from 1 species